rnacentral:rRNA from 1 species
UUUGAUCCUGGCUCAGGAUGAACGCUGGCGGCGUGCCUAAUACAUGCAAGUCGAACGCAUAUCUUCGGAUAUGAGUGGCGAACGGGUGAGUAAUACAUAAGUAACCUGGCCUUAAGAGGGGGAUAACUAUUAGAAAUGAUAGCUAAGACCGCAUAGGUAUGAAGAUCGCAUGAUCGACAUAUUAAAUAUCCCACGGGAUAGCUGAAGGAUGGACUUAUGGCGCAUUAGCUAGUUGGUAGGGUAACGGCCUACCAAGGCGACGAUGCGUAGCCGACCUGAGAGGGUGGACGGCCACACUGGGACUGAGACACGGCCCAGACUCCUACGGGAGGCAGCAGUAGGGAAUUUUCGGCAAUGGGGGGAACCCUGACCGAGCAACGCCGCGUGAGGGAGGAAGUAUUUCGGUAUGUAAACCUCUGUUAUAAAGGAAGAACGAUGCAUGUAGGGAAUGACAUGCAAGUGACGGUACUUUAUGAGGAAGCCACGGCUAACUACGUG